GUUGCCUGGAAUCCGCAAUCUGCUUCUAUCCCUACAGCAAAACUGAAGAAUGUGAGCCGGCUAAGAACAGAACACCAAGUGUGAGUACUGGCACUGCUUGCAGCAGCAAAAAAUCAUCCCAUGAAAACACAUAUCUAACUAAAAAAUUUAGUGCGUAUUUGAUUUCGCGUGGGAAUGGACAAAUCAUGGUGGCUCACUGUAAUUUUGUUAAUCCCACCGGGAAACCAAACAUGCACUUGAAUAGUUUUCUUUUUCUGUCAUAAGUGACCUACAAAAAUUAACUCUGAUUUUAAUUUGGAUUGAGUUAAUUUCAAGUUGAACAACCUAUAAGUGGCAUUUGUAAGUUGAGCAUCCUAAAAUGCAGCAACUAAGUCAUCAUCCAUGGGAUUGCAAGUUCUGAAUAUAAUUUUAUCUUUACCUUCGUAAGGAUGAUUUCUUAAUUUUUUGGAUUAAGCAUUUGGAUAUUCAUUCUCAAAAUGUAAGUCCAAAUGAUAAGGUGUGUCCAAUCUCUCUAAUUUUAAGACUCAGAUGAACAAUUCUAGAAGACUUUUUCUAAAUGACAUCACUAUAGUCAUUGUCAUAAGUAUACUCGAUGCAAAUUCCUUGACUCUACACCAUACAACGUCUAUUUUUUGAAUGGAAAUCUAAAUUAUGCUUUCUAACAUCCCCUGAUUGAUGCAGAUAUGAACUUCCAGAUUCACACCCUCUGUUGGAAAAGGUCAGUUAUUCCUUUCUUUGUACUCAAGCACGCAGUUAUCAGCUUGGGAGAUUUUAUUUUUAUUUGUUUGUUUACUAAAAUUUACAGAUGGAUAAGCGGGAACCUGAUGACCCAAGUCCAUAUCUUCUUGCAAUAUGGUCACCAGGUUAGCAAAUGAUACUUGAAAUAAUCUCAGUUAAUAAUAAUUGAUAUAUGCAAGCAAUAGUCUCCAAAAGCUACCCCUGUACUAAAAUCUAUGCACAAAUACAUCUAAAACAGACAGACUGAAAAGCAAACAUGCAGUAUUGGCAAGAUUGUUACUAAGUAGAUGCUAUGAUAAAGUCUGAUAAUAUGUUCGCACCCGUAUUUAUGACAUUUCAAUACUAGGUGAGACUGCGAAUUCCAUUGAACCACCACAAAGGAAGUGUGGAUUGCAAGACUCAACCAACCUGUGCAAUGACAAGACAUGUUUUUCAUGCAACAGCAUUAGAGAAGCUAAUUCACAAAUUGUGAGAGGAACACUGCUGGUAAUGCUUUGAUACAGACAACCAGAUGAAAGACGCGCUAUAUGUUUAUGUUCUAGCUUUAUAUUGUUUUAAUAACUUUCACAAAUAUUGUCCCAUAUAUAGAUACCGUGUCGGACAGCAACAAGGGGAAGCUUUCCACUCAACGGUACUUACUUUCAAGUUAAUGAGGUAAGUGUAAUCUAGGUUUUGUUACUGUUCAGCCACCUUAGCAAAUCUACCCUUAUUUUCAAUUUCAAUAUUCACCGCCAAGGUCUAUAUAACCUUUUCUUUAUCAUGAAGUUAUUUGCGGACCACGCAUCCAGCAUUGAACCCAUAGAUAUCCCUAGGGAAUGGAUAUGGAAUUUGCCAAGGAGGACAGUAUACUUUGGGACCUCUGUAUCAUCAAUUUUCAAAGGUAGGGAAAAAAAACUCCAUAUGCUCAUCUUCUAAUAUCUAUUCUAAUCCAGUUUGUCCGAGAAGAUAAAAGUACUCUCUAAAAACUCUUCUGUCUACUAGGUCUCUCAACCCCAGAAAUUCAGCAUUGCUUUUGGAGAGGUAUGCAGACUAUCUUGAAAUAUUUGUUUUAUUUCUUCUCUUAUCACUACAAAAUUUAAAUAACAGAGGAAAGAAUAAACCAUUUCAAUUGGUUGCCUCAAAGGAAAUACACAAUCUACUGAAUUUCAUUUCAAAAAUUAACUCUGUUAAUUGGGACUUUGCAUACUUCACACAAGUAAAAAGAGGGAUACAAGUACACUAAAAAAAAGUAAUACACCAGUAGUACUCCUUCCAAUUAACAACCAAAUUUGCAUUUGUGCCAAUUCAUCAGAGGCAAAAAUAAAAGAAGGCCUAAAGCAACUUCAGGUUUAGCAAAAUUUUCAUAAAUUAUACCCAUGUCAAAUAUCAAUAAGGAAAAGGACAAAUAUCGAUCAUACCUCAUAAGUAAUUGUUGUAUAUUUAUAAUGCCAGUAUAAAUUACAUAAGGUCCAGGAGUCUGACACAUAACAGGCAUGUUAUAACUGAUUAUAUAUAUAUAUAUAUAUAUAUAUAUAUAUAUAAGUUAUCGGCUUAUUAUUUCCCAUCUAUAUUAUUAUCAUGUAAUUUGAGUAAUUUGGGCUUAUCUUUAUUGGUGUUGUUAUUAUUAUUAUUAUUAUAAUUAACCCGUGAAACCCAAUGGAUCCACUGUCCCUUGGUGAAUAUUUUUUGGUUGCCAAAAGCAUGUUUCAUCUCUGCUUUUAGUCUCAGCUCCUUUUUUCAGGCCAUGUUCUUCAACAUGGCACGUUAAACCAUCACCUACACCAACAGAACAAUUCCAAAAGUAUACAACAAACCUCUCCAAUCAAAAUAUAAAUCCAAAUGUGUGUGCAUUAUUCUUGAAAGACUAAAUGUUAGACUAGUCGGCCAAUAGUUCCCUGAAAAGUGAAAACAUCACAAGUACCAUUGCACACUUUACAAUAAGUGUAGUUCCCAUAUGCAGCUACGAAAUAUCAAUUAUCAAACUUAUAAUGCCUAUUAACAUUUUGAUACUUCAUUUCAGGAUUUGUUUGUGUUAGGGGAUUUGAUCAACAAAAACGUGCACCUCGUCCUCUUUUUGCCAGAUUGCAUUUUACAGAAAGUAAACUUGCAAAGACAAAAAAAUGAAAACAAGAAAAUGGGACAUGUACUAAGAAAUUUGCUAAUAUUGAAGAUCAAACUGCUCCAAGACCAGAUGGAAUUGCCGCGGAAGUGACAGGAGAUCAACAACUAGCAUACUUUUGUAUAUUCAAAUAUUCUUCUUCUAAGUAUGCAGCAAGUAAUGAAAAACGUACUAGGUGUUUCUGUUCGGGAUGUGAAAUCCUGCAACUAGUGGUAUUGACCUGUAUAUCAUUUCUAUUCAAGCACAACAGCGAUUUGUUAAAAACAUGCUGAAAUUAUACCAACAAUUGUAAUUAUUGCAUUACAAUCAAUAGAAUUGUUCAUUGACAGUGAACAGAAAUUGCAGAAAUGAGAAAUCAAUCCUAGAAUGUCAAGUGGAUUGAUUAUUUUUUCACAAAAUACAUAGAAAGUUGAUAGAAAAUAUCACAAGCAGCAGAACAUUAAAUGUAGCUCCCAUAUAAAUAGCAAGCUAACACUCAACGGAGAUAUUUACUAUGCGAAGAUUUAUCACUAAAGACAUAGGCCACGUGGUCAUCUUGAAAACUAAAGAUUUUCUGAGAAGUGCAAGUCCAUAGUUAAUGAGGAACCCAGUUUACAUACAGAAUCAAUAUUAUAACAAAAUGCUAUCUGUCUAAAUAAUCCAGCAAGAAUGUAAAAAACAUAUGUUGAGAUAUUUAAGAUAUUGGAACAAUUCUAUUGAAAUGAUAACACUUGAAAUUGGGACGAAGACUGAUUUCAAUUACAAUCAAAAAGCUAUACGCAAGAUAUUUACAUAACAUAAAUAAGGGAAAGUAAAUCAGGGUAAUAUCUUAACAUUUCCCCUCAAGUUUCUGCAUAUAUAUCAUAUGCAACCACUUAGUACAUAUGUGUGUGUGUGAUACCAUCGAGCCUCUGAGAGACUUUGUGAAAAUAUUACCUUUUAAUCAUUAGAGUUCACUAAGGAUGAAAGAUCUACCCAAAAGAACCUUCUCAUAGAUAAAGUGGCAAUCGAUCUCUAUGUCCUUGGUCUGGUCAUUGAACUGAUAGAAGAUUGGAAUAGAUUUGAUAUGUAUACCUACCUGGUUAUCAUGAAUGUUACACAUUGAUUCAAACACUUUAAGACUAAAAUCAUCAGCAAGGAGUUAUUUCAACUAGUGUUGUCAAGAUUCAAACCCUAUCUAAGAUGGGGGAUGGGGUUGCAAGAUCGCAAAAUGUAUGAUCAUAACAAAGAUCGUAAGGUUUUACUAAAUUGACUAAUUACACUAAAUACUAAUAUAGUAUAAAGUUAUUUAAUAUUUAUAUGAUAUAUAAGAUAUGUUGAUUCUAAGUUUUUUCUUAGAUUAAAUAUUAUUAUUUAAUGUGUGAUUUAUUUUCAAUUAUUAUUGUUGUAAAUUCCUUCUUCAUUGUGGUCUGCCCCUAGCCACCUAAUUGCAACAUUUGUUUCAUUGCAGCCUCCAUCACCUUCAUUGUGUUGGGUGUGAAGGACUGAUGGAUUUAGAGAUAUGGCAUGUGUAGUGUUUAUAAAGCAGUUCUCACUUACAAGUCGGUUUUGUGUGGUUGAGUUAGGCCCAAUCUAACUUACAAGAUGGUAUCAGAGCCUAUCCUAGAUUUGUUGUUGGGUUUCCUGCAUCGUCCAUGCGUCAGGCUCAUUGGGGCCCGAGCGUGAGGGGACGUGUUGGAAACUCUGUCUUCAUUACGGUCUACCCCUAGCCACCUAAUUGUGACAUUUGAGUUGCCUUCAUUGCAGUCUCCAACAACUUCAUUGUGUUGGGUGUGAAGCGGUGGAUUUUGUCCCACAUUGCCAAGAAAUAUGGCUUGUGUUUACAAAGUUUGAACAGUUCUCACCUUACAAGUCGGCCUUGUAAAGUUGAAUUAGGCCCAAACCCUUAUUUACUAGAAGCCCUAGUCUAAGACAAUGAUAACUCAAUAAAUUAUAAAAUGAGAUUAGGAUUUCAAGUACAACGGAUUCCUUUGCCAAGAGCUAUUCACAGGUCCACGGGCUUAUCAAAUUGGGGUGAACCAGAUUGAGGGAUUGGAAUGUGCGAUAAAAUCAUGGGUCUCUUCAAUGAAAAUUUCCUCCAUUGGAACGGGACAAGGACAACAUUGAUAAGAAAGAAGAGAAUUGAAGGAAAAAAUCUGAUGUAUAUGAGGCUUGCAAGUUAGGACCAAAUUAAAUAGAAGGGGGAACUAGCAAUAAUCAAGAGACGGACUCUUGUGUUAUCGAGGAAAUUAAGACUAUAGUAUCUUCAAAGAAGGUGGCAUCAGCUUAUACAUAUAAACUAUCAGUUGAAGGAAAAUAACAUCAGUAUCAUUUUUAAACUUGAGAAUUUGAAUAACCAAGGAAGACGCACUUGAUAGCAGGAAACCUUUGAAAUAACUCACAUAUAUAAUUUUGUAACACUAAUAACAUUUUUAGUGUUACAAAAUCAUGUGUGAAUUUUGCCCCCACAACACAAAAUUUAUGUGUUGGUCCCUAUAUCCAUAGACAUUUUCAAAUACCAUAUCAAACCAAACUUUGAAAUUAAGUCAGUUACAACAUAUCCUAAUUAGACCAAUCAGCCACUCUUUAUUUUAUUUAUCUUAUUCAGUUCAUCUCCUUUCCAACACACCCCUAACUAUUAUUUAAACAGACAAGGGCCAAUAGUAUAGAACAUUAAAAUAUUAACUAAUGAGGAAAACAUUAGAUCAGUACAACAUUAAAUGAAACAUAAGAAACCUAGCACAAAAAUGGCAUGAAUCCAUAAAGCUAAUGGCAAGUAUUUAUACAUUCAGAUGCAUUCAUUAGAGACCUACAUUUGCCUCAGGAUUAAGUUCUAUUCAGCAACCAAAGACAAAAAUUAAUUAUAAAAUCAUAAAAAAUAACAUCGUUCUACAACUCACAAUUUUAUCAUACACUUUGCAUCAAAGCAUGAGUGCAGCUGUAAUAACAGUCCAAAAACCCUGAUUAUCUGCAAUUAGAACCCCUUGACAGUUAGAAAAUUCUACAAAUGAUUCUAAUCACAAAUCGCUUCUCUCAAUAAACAGAUUUUAACGAAGUCGCCGUCAUAUCGUGAAAGUCCAUAAAAUACUAAAUUAAAAUCAAAGACACGCAACAUGAAAACACUCUUGGUGGAAAGAUGAUGAACAAAGGCAAAGAAUGUUAACUGUACCGGGAACUGAGUCUGAUAUCUUCGAUUUCUAUUUCCAGAGAUUUUCCUAGCAGCAUCCAAACAAGGUGACGAGAAAAUAAAAAAUAAAACCGGGGAGAAUUUGAGAGAGAGGAAGGAGGAGAAACAGAAGAGAUGAAAAAAAUUAGGGUUUGAAAGUGGAAGGCGUGGGAUGAAGAAUAGAGAGCGUGGAAUUAAAAAAGAGCAGAAGACAUCGGGAAUAUAAAGAGUGAGAAGAAAGGAAAACAUUUGUCGUUACUGGCUGCCAUUGCUGUUGUUACUUGCCGCCACUUGCUAUUUUCCCUCCUUAAUUUUUUUCAAAAUUAUUUCUGUCUAUCAUGCUUCGUUUCCGUGAUAGGAGAAAACGGAGAGAAUUUGGAGAAUAUGAAAAACAACCAUCGUGGGAUUAUGGUUUACCAUCCUGCGUGAGGAUGCCGAGUUUAUAUUCACUCAUAAAACUGGGAAUCUAAUUGAUAUAUACUCUCUUAACUAAUUUUAUAAUGAUAUAUAACCAAAAUUGUUAUAAAAGUCAUAUAAUUUGACGAAAUAUAUAAAUUUUAUUAAACAUCGAAAUCAUUUUAUAAUGACAGUGCA
rnacentral:lncRNA from 1 species